UCCUGGGCAUAAGAGGAAGUAAAAGUCGUAACAAGGUCUCGCUUGGUGAACCAGCGGAGGGAUCAUUACCGAGUUUACAACUCCCAAACCCAUGUGAACAUACCUACUGUUGCUUCGGCGGGAUUGCCCCGGGCGCCUCGUGUGCCCCGGAUCAGGCGCCCGCCUAGGAAACUUAAUUCUUGUUUUAUUUUGGAAUCUUCUGAGUAGUUUUUACAAAUAAAUAAAAACUUUCAACAACGGAUCUCUUGGUUCUGGCAUCGAUGAAGAACGCAGCGAAAUGCGAUAAGUAAUGUGAAUUGCAGAAUUCAGUGAAUCAUCGAAUCUUUGAACGCACAUUGCGCCCGCCAGUAUUCUGGCGGGCAUGCCUGUCUGAGCGUCAUUUCAACCCUCAUGCCCCUAGGGCGUGGUGUUGGGGAUCGGCCAAAGCCCGCGAGGGACGGCCGGCCCCUAAAUCUAGUGGCGGACCCGUCGUGGCCUCCUCUGCGAAGUAGUGAUAUUCCGCAUCGGAGAGCGACGAGCCCCUGCCGUUAAACCCCCAACUUACCAAGGUUGACCUCAGAUCAGGUAGGAAUACCCGCUGAACUUAAGCAUAUCAAAAGCCGGGAGGA
rnacentral:rRNA from 1 species